ensembl:lncRNA
UAAGUUCAGGCCAAGGUUUGCUGAAAUGUCAGUCUGCAUUGUAGGACUUUCUUUAGCAACAGCCAGUUCAGACACAGUAAGUAAUAUAAUUUUACAUUUGUUAGAGCAGCUAAUUGAUCAUUUUAAUAUUUCCCGCUGUUUAAUAUAUCAUUCUUUGUUAUUUAGACUGGAGAGGAAGUUGCAGCAAUUUAUUCAACCAUCAACGACAUGCAACCCCCUUCACAACCACCAGGAAAGAGUGAAGAAUCAAUGACAACUGAGGUUGAACUGAAUCAUUUGUAUUCCACCAUCCUCACCAAACCGGCCAUCUCCAGUGACAGCAGGGGUGUUUACAGUCAGCCAAAGGUCCGCUGAAAGAAUAAAACUCUGCCUGCUACUGUUUUAAUGCA